AAUAAAGCAGUCUCAGCCGAGCAAAACCAAAAACCACACACACACACACACGAGCACAGAUACGAGAAGAGAGCAGAAAACAGCGUAAACCAGAAACAUGACAGAACCGAACCGAACCGAAACUAAUUUGCCUUUCGCUCGUGCUCUGAGAGCGGUUCAGAGAGCGACGAAACACAUGGACAUGGGACGACGCACGACAUAUGUACAAAUAAAGUAAACUGGUUUGAAACGGUUUCGGUCUGUCGGGACUGUGUGCGAAACACUAAUCAGAUCUUGUUGUUGUCUUAGAGGCUUAUACUUGGUUUGCGUCGGUUUUUACUCUCGUUUUAUGACACUUCCCGACUCUCGUUGCCCCUGCCUUGGUUCAAUCUACCUCACCAUACGCAGAGCUCAAGAGAAUAUUCUAUUCGCAUGUUUGAGAAUCGAAAUUUAGUAUGUACAUACAUACAUACAUAUGUAUGUAAAGUAGUUCAAGAAGAUGUGAGCUCCGCCCUGACUGGACUAUAACUUCAACUUCAUUCCUAAAGAGCAUACAAAUGUACAAAUGCAUGUACACCCAGUGGACCAAAGAGCGAUAGUAAAAAGGAACUACCAUAAAAUGUCCGGAAACGGACUUAGAAAUGAUAAAAAUCCGGGAGCGAUAAGUGAAGUCUCGCAAAAUGCUCGCAGACGGAAUUAGAAAAGAGCAUUUACCGGACGAAAACCGUGCGACGACCAAAGUCCCGCAAAACCAUCACAAACGGAUUUAAAAACGGGCACAAUACGCAAGAAACGCCGGAUCACGUAAUAGAACAUGAACGAACUGUCAAACUGCGGCCCGGCACAACGCCGCCGUUUUUUCGUUUUUGUUAUUUUGUGAUUAAAAACCGCAGCAGAAGGACGUAAACGGGGAGGUAAAUCGUAAAAAUAUUAAAAAAAAAAAAGGAAAAAUCGCCAUCUUCUUGUGCAUCAGGCAACCUGCGUCAACGAAUAUAACAAUUUUCGCUGGAACUGACUUUGGACAGAGUGUCGAAGGGGCAAAAACAAAAUAAAUUUAAUUCAAUAAUAUAAUUUUGU